AUUGAACGCUGGCGGCAGGCCUAACACAUGCAAGUCGAACGGUAACAGGAAGAAGCUUGCUUCUUUGCUGACGAGUGGCGGACGGGUGAGUAAUGUCUGGGAAACUGCCUGAUGGAGGGGGAUAACUACUGGAAACGGUAGCUAAUACCGCAUAACGUCGCAAGACCAAAGAGGGGGACCUUCGGGCCUCUUGCCAUCGGAUGUGCCCCGAUGGGAUUAGCUAGUAGGUGGGGUAACGGCUCACCUAGGCGACGAUCCCUAGCUGGUCUGAGAGGAUGACCAGCCACACUGGAACUGAGACACGGUCCAGACUCCUACGGGAGGCAGCAGUGGGGAAUAUUGCACAAUGGGCGCAAGCCUGAUGCAGCCAUGCCGCGUGUAUGAAGAAGGCCUUCGGGUUGUAAAGUACUUUCAGCGGGGAGGAAGGGAGUAAAGUUAAUACCUGUGCUCAUUGACGUUACCCGCAGAAGAAGCACCGGCUAACUCCGUG
rnacentral:rRNA from 1 species